rnacentral:rRNA from 1 species
GACGUAGGGCGCGAGCGUUGUCCGGAUUUAUUGGGCGUAAAGAGCUCGUAGGCGGCUUGUCGCGUCAACUGUGAAAACCCGUGGCUCAACCAUGUGGUCUGCAGUCGAUACGGGCAGGCUAGAAUUCGGUAGGGGGAGACUGGAAUUCCUGGUGUAGCGGUGAAAUGCGCAGAUAUCAGGAGGAACACCGGUGGCGAAGGCGGGUCUCUGGGCCGAUAUUGACGCUGAGGAGCGAAAGCGUGGGGAGCGAACAGG